rnacentral:misc_RNA from 1 species
UUUCCGUAGGUGAACCUGCGGAAGGAUCAUCACUGCAUGACCGCCUAUAGCACCCACCUGUGGAACGUCGGCCGCUCUCGUGCGGCGGGUCCUCUUUGGACCCGGCCGGGGCGGGGGCGGCGUCUUUCAAUUUUACACGCGAGUGCUGAUCUGAACGCGCCACGAAAAACAAAACACAACUUUUAACAACGGAUCUCUUGGUUCUC